UAUGUGAUCGUCUCUCGCAUAUCAAUAAGCGGAGGAAAAGAAACUAACAAGGAUUCCCUUAGUAACGGCGAGUGAAGCGGGAAGAGCUCAAAUUUGAAAUCUUCAAGGUUUUACCUUGACGAAUUGUAGGUUAAAGAAGUGUUUUCUGUUGAAGUUUUGGUAAAAGUUCUUUGGAAUAGGACAUCAUAGAGGGUGAGAAUCCCGUAUUUGACCAUUAUUUUCAGCUGUGUGAUACACUUCCAAAGAGUCGGAUUGUUUGGGAAUGCAGUCCAAAAUGGGUGGUAAAUUUCAUCUAAAGCUAAAUAUUGGCGAGAGACCGAUAGCGAACAAGUACCGUGAGGGAAAGAUGAAAAGAACUUUGAAAAGAGAGUUAAACAGUACGUGAAAUUGUCAAAAGGGAAGCGUUUGACACCAGUGUUGUUUUCUCGAAAAUCAAUUAAAAAGAGUUUAGAUUUUGUUGUGUAUUGACCUUAACAGCUUGCAUUUCAAUUUUCUUGCUUUUUUUAAUGCACUUUUCGUUUAACAAGUCAACAUCAGUUUCUUUUGUUGUAAAAAGGUCAUUGGAAGGUGGCUUUCUUUUCGGAGAAAGUGUUUAUAGCCUUUGACUCCUGCAAUCGGAGAGACUGAGGUCUGCAGCGUAGAUCCUUCGGGGUUAGAUACAUUUGUGCUAAGUUAUAGCUUUUUAUAGACAACUUGUUGACUAUGAUUAGUCUUGUAGCUUACUCGCUUAUGCUAUUUUACCUACGCUUAGGAUGUUGAAGAUGUAGCACAUCAU
rnacentral:rRNA from 1 species